UUCUGAAUCUCUCUCUUCAGCUUCUUCAUCUCCCCGUCCUUCUUUUGCCGACCUAGUUUGGAAGAAACCGCAGAGAGAAGAGCCGGAUCCAGGAUUAAGCAACGGCAACUGUGAAUUGAAAAUUGCAGCUGAAUUAAAUGAGAUGUAAAUAGAGUAGAGGACCGAAAUGAGGUGGGUGACGGAGAUAGAAGAGACGAAGGUCGGAUGAGGCGCCGUUGGAUCUCUUCUACGGUUGCCAGAGGACUCCAAGCUUCUCCUCUGCUUCGUUCCAUUCCACAGAGUCCCUCUCACAAGUCACAACAGCUCCCCAGUCCCCCAGAUUUGUGGUUCCCUGGGCGGAUGAGUUUACCAACCCAAGUAGACUUGGAUUGGGAUUGAAUUUUAUUACCACCAAACUGGGCCGAUAGAAAUACCUCCAGGGGAAUGGGCUGGGCUCACCCAACUUCAAAGGAGCCCAAAUCCCUCUGCUGAAUCCCAACUGAGACUCCCUGACACUUGAAGGAAAAUGAAUUUGAGAAUAAGCCAGACAGUCGCAGUAUUUUCUCGGAGCCGUGGAGAAACAUCAACUGUGUCCUUGAGCUCAGUGAUUGGCUGAAAUCUAUCUGCGGUCAUGUUUUAAUAACGCAAACGAUUGUUGGGGUCUGUUUUCCUGGUGGCGGUUCUUAUGAUGACUAAUUGUGUCUUCGCGAGGGUCAUCAUCGCACUAGUCUGACUCGAGAAAAUUAGACUACCUACAGUUCUUCAUCUGUACCUACUUGCAGUAACAAGGAUCGGUGAGAAGCUGACCUGAGAUCCAGACCAAGAAAGGUCCAAGACAUCAUCCAGAUGGCCUUUGAAAGAACAAACUGAUAUUGGAGUCGCUGGUAGAGGAGGCCGAUCUGAGGACCCCAACGCCAUUGGGUGAAGUGGGGUGGAAUUCAAUUCAUCUGGUGGUUUCCAUGGUGUGGCUUCACAUUCUUGUACUUCCCACACAUGAAUUAUCCUAUCUUCCCCUGCACUUGCAAGAUGCAAAGCUGUGAGCUCUUUAUAUGAUUUGCCAUGCUGCCGAACUUUUAUCCACUCAGAGGAAGAAUUCUUGCUUGAUUUGGCCUCCUGCAAAGAUGGAAUCUCUCUUUCUUUCUCACUGAUAAAGCUAUUUGCGACACCCUUUAUGUUCUUCAACAAAGCAACUCCCCUUCUCUUGCUGAAUCUAAAACUCUUGGUAAUAUAUGAGUUCAUGCUGGGUUUCCUCUCACUACCACCAAUGCCAAUGCCAUCAGUAAUGCGAACAACAUUCUGCCGACGCAUAAGCUCCUUGACAACUGGGGAAUAGCCAACACUUUUCUCAAAUUCUUCCAUGAAAAUGCUUCCAUGUCUCCAUCUGACCGAGAACGUACAUGCACAACCGGUACCAAUUGUGGCUUUGCUUCCUCUUCAGUAGAACAUGUAUCGACUGCUAUGGGGGUUACCUCACAAUUUCCAACUUUUGUGGAGGCUGCUCUCUUGAAGCCAACACUGGCGAGCCUGAUAAACUCCUUCUCAGAUGUUAAACCCAUGCCUUGUAGGAGACGCUUGCGACGUUCCUGAAUCGAUCCCGGUUCUGCCAUCCACAUCCCAUAGUCGUCUGAAGAUGAUGUUUCUGAGGCGGUAGGAGCGGCAGUAGCAGCAGCUGCAGCUGCAGCUGCAAAGGCCCGGAACUCCUGGGUGGGAACAGAAGAUAUAGCGGAGGCAAAGGACAUGCGGGUAUCGUCAAAUUCAUCGUCAUCAUCAUCAGAUGAUGCCAAGUCAAGAGGGACAGCAGAGGAAAUUCUAUCAAAAGAUUCGAAGAAGUGGUCAUCGUCCUCAUCCUCUUCUAAACCAUACCAGUUGACGGUGAGGGUCCUGUCUGCCAUUCUGGCACAUUUCAAUUAGAUGAAAGCAGAGAAACCAUGAAAACGCGGGAAGUGAAGAUGUGUGAUUGUUUCAGGAGAAAAGGGAAUGGAACAGUGGAAGAGAGAAAAACAAGGGGGGGUUUGGGGCUUAUGUUACCGUUUUAGUUUCCUUUGGUUGGUUAGGACUCAGGAGAAUAGAAACGGUCAACGGUGCCUCUCCCCACGUCUCACGUCUGUACACGCAUCACCCCCAAUUGGACAGCUUUCAUAUCCGAAGAUGUGCGUCCCUCGUCUAUCUUACUUUCCAGUGGAAGUUUUGUCAACUCAGUUUGACCCCUCGCUUCUUGUUCUUUCCUCCUCUUUACUCCCAAUCCACAGCAGGAAGCUGACAAUUUCUGGUUCUGAAUUUCAGCAGUAGAAGUUUUGCAAUCUCUAGUCCUGAAUUGAAUUAAGAUUAACAUCUGUUCAUAAAUCCCUUGCAACAGAUCAAAGAGUGAACUGGCAGUUUUACAAUUGCAUGAAUUUAAAUCUCAUUCAGAGCAUUUAAA